UACGAAGGGGGCUAGCGUUGUUCGGAUUUACUGGGCGUAAAGCGCACGUAGGCGGAUCGUUAAGUCGGGGGUGAAAUCCUGGAGCUCAACUCCAGAACUGCCUUCGAUACUGGCGAUCUUGAGUCCGGAAGAGGUGAGUGGAACUCCUAGUGUAGAGGUGGAAUUCGUAGAUAUUAGGAAGAACACCAGUGGCGUUGGCGGCUUUCUUGUCCGGUACUGACGCUGAGGUGCGAAAGCGUGGGGAGCAAACAGG
rnacentral:rRNA from 1 species